GGAUGACACCUCAAAAUGGGGUUUUGAAAUGCAAAACCUCGUUUUGCUUCACAAACCCCAUUCUUGGGGUGACAGGAAACUGGAUUUUUAAUUUUUAAGAAACCUAGUUUUCCUCAAAACCUGCUCCCCCCAUGUCUAUGUCUAUGCUUAGAAAAAUCUAUGAACUUAGUUAGCACUUUUACAUGUGCGUUAAUUGUAAAUAUACUAUAAGUUCUCUAUUCAUGGAUUCUCUUAUUUUCAACUGGUAGCAUAUAUGAAAUCAUUAUGCAUUUUAUAAUAAUUGAAGCAGUUGUAAAUGUGAUCGUCGCUUCCUUGUUAUGCAAUUAGUUUGGUGGUUUGGUUUAUCGAAGGAUCCUGAUGAUCCGUUUGGUAGAAUUUUGUAAAUAAACCAUGCCCUGCUCUAAGGAGAUUUUUAGCAAGGAACUACAGUCAAAGGUAAUUUUAAAAUCUAAAUGCCUUAAUGAAGAUUGGUAGCCAAAGUUUCUUAAGUUUCUUAGUGGUGGUAUAAAAGGCGAUUGUAUUUGUUGAACUAGCAUUUAGCUGUAUUUAACAUUGAUGCAGUUUUGUUCAACUGAUCAAUUUUUUAAGUAUAAAAUGAUCUUUUUCUAUUUUUUUCUUUUGAAAACAUUUGUUUUCUGCAACUAUGUUAAAAAUACUGCGAACCGUUGCCGUAUUAUAAUGACUGACUUUCUAAUCCUACUUUAUAAUGGUAAAGCCUCGUUUAUGAGGUGCUUCGCUUGUUCGCGACUAGGGUCUUUGCGAAGGAGAGAGGGAGAGAAGGAGAUGUCGAUCAUGAGAGGAGAGCCCUUGUUGGCCAGGCUAGCCAGCGUGGCCCGCUUUGUCGUCUUCCCGGCGGCCAUGGUGGCUUCCCUUCUCUACGUUCCUCCGGCUUCCUCGAAGAAGAAGGAUGAAGAGAAGUAGAGAGUUCGUUUCAGCCAGGUUCUGCCAUUCUUGCAAAUGGUUAUUCAAGUCCGUCCCAAGUGCGAGGUCUGGCAUGGGCGAACAAAUAUUGCAGGACCCAGGUGCUGGCGUCCCCCCGUUGCUUAGGACUUUGACUUUUGAUAAUAAAAUGAACUGCCACGUUUUGCAACUUCUCUGCACAUAUGUUAUGUGAUUGACUUCUUGGUUUUAA